AUUUUUGGACAAUGGGGGAAACCCUGAUCCAGCCAUCCUGCGUGUAUGAUGAAGGCCUUCGGUUUGUAACGUACUUUUGGCAGAGAAGAAAAGGUACCUCCUAAUACGAGGUACUGCUGACGGUAUCUGCAGAAUAAGCACCGGAUACCUACGUGCCUGCAGCCGCGGUAAUACGUAGGGUGCAAGCGUCAAUCGGAAUUACUGGGCGUAGAGCGUGUGUAGGCGGUUCGGAGAGAAAGAUGUGAAAUCCCAGGGCUCAACCUUGGAACUGCAUUUUUAACUGCCGAGCUAGAGUAUGUCAGAGGGGGGUAGAAUUCCACGUGUAGCAGUGAAAUGCGUAGAUAUGUGGAGGAAUACCGAUAGCGAAGGCAGCCCCCUGGGAUAAUACUGACGCUCAGACACGAAAGCGUGGGGAGCAAACA
rnacentral:rRNA from 1 species